rnacentral:rRNA from 1 species
GAUGAACGCUAGCGGGAGGCCUAAUACAUGCAAGUCGAACGGUAACAGGAUAGCAAUAUCGCUGACGAGUGGCGUACGGGUGCGUAACGCGUACACAACCUGCCGAAUACUGGGGUAUACCCUCGGGAAACUGAGAAUAAUCCCCCAUAAUAUUACAGAGUGGCAUCACUCCGUAAUUAAAACUACCGGUGGUAUUCGAUGGGUGUGCGUCCGAUUAGGUAGUUGGUGAGGUAAUGGCUCACCAAGCCAACGAUCGGUAGCUGGUCUGAGAGGACGAUCAGCCACACGGGCACUGAGACACGGGCCCGACUCCUACGGGAGGCAGCAGUAGGGAAUAUUGGACAAUGGAGGCAACUCUGAUCCAGCCAUCCCGCGUGAAGGAUGGAGGUCCUCUGGGAUUGUAAACUUCUUUUUCUCUGGGGAAUAAAAAACUCCGAUUUACUCGGAGCUUGAAGGUACCAGAGGGAAUAAGCACCGGCUAACUCCGUGCCAGCAGCCGCGGUAAAGUCUGU